GAUCAUGGCUCAGGAUGAACGCUAGCGACAGGCUUAACACAUGCAAGUCGAGGGGCAGCAUAAAAGUAGCAAUACUUGGUGGCGACCGGCGCACGGGUGAGUAACGCGUAUGCAACCUACCUAUCAGAGGGGAAUAACCCGGCGAAAGUCGGACUAAUACCGCAUAAAACAGGGGCACCGCAUGGUGAUAUUUGUUAAAGAAAUUCGCUGAUAGAUGGGCAUGCGUUCCAUUAGGUAGUUGGUGAGGUAACGGCUCACCAAGCCGACGAUGGAUAGGGGAACUGAGAGGUUGGUCCCCCACACUGGUACUGAGACACGGACCAGACUCCUACGGGAGGCAGCAGUGAGGAAUAUUGGUCAAUGGGCGAGAGCCUGAACCAGCCAAGUCGCGUGAAAGGAAGAAGGAUCUAUGGUUCGUAAACUUCUUUUGCAGGGGAAUAAAGUGCAGGACGUGUCCUGUUUUGUAUGUACCCUGAGAAUAAGGAUCGGCUAACUCCGUGCCAGCAGCCGC
rnacentral:rRNA from 1 species